rnacentral:rRNA from 1 species
AGCUACAUCCAUACACAACUAAACCCACCGCAUCCCAUUCGAUCUGCGCAGGUAAACAGUUGAUGGCAUAGUCAGUGUGAGGUGAUGAGGGUU